rnacentral:rRNA from 1 species
AACGAACGCUGGCGGCAUGCCUAACACAUGCAAGUCGAACGGGAUCCAGGCUUCGGCCUGGUGAGAGUGGCGGACGGGUGAGUAACACGUGGGAACCUGCCUUUUGGUUCGGGAUAACCGCGGGAAACUGCGGCUAAUACCGGAUGCUCCCGAGAGGGGAAAGAUUUAUCGCCAGAAGAGGGGCCCGCGUCCGAUUAGGUAGUUGGUGAGGUAAUGGCUCACCAAGCCGACGAUCGGUAGCUGGUCUGAGAGGAUGAUCAGCCACACUGGGACUGAGAUACGGCCCAGACUCCUACGGGAGGCAGCAGUGGGGAAUAUUGGACAAUGGGGCAACCCUGAUCCAGCAAUGCCGCGUGAGUGAUGAAGGCCUUAGGGUUGUAAAGCUCUUUUGCCAGGGAAGAUGAUGACUGUACCUGGAGAAUAAGCUCCGGCUAACUCCGUGCCAGCAGCCGCGGUAAU